rnacentral:rRNA from 1 species
CGUAGGAGGCAAGCGUUAUCCGGAUUCACUGGGCGUAAAGCGCGUGCAGGUGGCGCGGUAAGUUAGGCGUGAAAUCUCCCGGCUCAACUGGGAGAGGUCGUCUAAUACUACCGUGCUAGAGAGCAGAAGAGGAAGAUGGAAUUCCCGGUGUAGUGGUGAAAUGCGUAGAUAUCGGGAGGAACACCAGUGGCGAAGGCGAUCUUCUGGUCUGUUUCUGACACUCAGACGCGACAGCUAGGGUAGUAAACGGGAUUAGAGACCCCGGUAAUCCUAGCCGUAAACGAUGUGAACUUGGCGUUGGUGGGUUAAACUCCAUCAGUGCCGUAGCAAACGCGAUAAGUUCACCGCCUGGGGACUACGGCCGCAAGGUU